CGCGGGGUAGAGCAGCUUGGUAGCUCGUCGGGCUCAUAACCCGAAGGUCAUAGGUUCAAAUCCUGUCCCCGCUACCA
rnacentral:tRNA from 1 species